rnacentral:rRNA from 1 species
GAGGGCCCGCACAAGCAGCGGAGCGUGUGGUUUAAUUCGAUGCUACACGAAGAACCUUACCAGGGUUUGACAUGCAAGCGGUAGGAACCGAAAGGCGACGACCUUCGGGAGCUUGCACAGGUGCUGCAUGGCUGUCGUCAGCUCGUGUCGUGAGAUGUUCGGUUAAGUCCGCUAACGAGCGCAACCCUCGCUGUGUGUUACAAGUGUCACACGGUACUGCCGGUCUUAAGCCGGAGGAAGGUGGGGAUGACGUCAAGUCAGCAUGGCCUUUAUGUCCUGGGCUACACACACGCUACAAUGGCCAACACAAUAGGUUGCUAAGCCGCGAGGUGGAGCCAAUCCUCAAAGUUGGUCUCAGUUCAGAUUGCAGGCUGCAACCCGCCUGCAUGAAGAUGGAGUUGCUAGUAACCGCAGGUCAGCUAUACUGCGGUGAAUACGUUCCCGGGGCUU